UGUGUGUGUGUGUGUGUGCGUGCGCGCGCGCGCACACACACACACACAUG
rnacentral:miRNA from 1 species